rnacentral:rRNA from 1 species
GACGAACGCUGGCGGCGUGCCUAAUACAUGCAAGUUGAGCGAUGAAGAUUGGUGCUUGCACCAAUUUGAAGAGCAGCGAACGGGUGAGUAACGCGUGGGGAAUCUGCCUUUGAGCGGGGGACAACAUUUGGAAACGAAUGCUAAUACCGCAUAACAACUUUAAACAUAAGUUUUAAGUUUGAAAGAUGCAAUUGCAUCACUCAAAGAUGAUCCCGCGUUGUAUUAGCUAGUUGGUGAGGUAAAGGCUCACCAAGGCGAUGAUACAUAGCCGACCUGAGAGGGUGAGCGGCCACAUUGGGACUGAGACAGGGCCCAAACUCCUACGGGAGGCAGCAGUAGGGAAUCUUCGGCAAUGGACGAAAGUCUGACCGAGAAACGCCGCGGGAGUGAAGAAGGUUUUCGGAUCGUAAAACUCUGUUGGUAGAGAAGAACGUUGGUGAGAGUGGAAAGCUCAUCAAGUGACGGUAACUACCCAGAAAGGGACGGCUAACUACGUG